GUCAUAUGCUUGUCUCAAAGACUAAGCCAUGCAUGUCUAAGUAUAAGUGUUAUACAGCGAAACUGCGAAUGGCUCAUUAAAACAGUUAUAGUUUAUUUGAUAAUCGAAUUUACAUGGAUAACCGUGGUAAUUCUAGAGCUAAUACAUGCUGGUGUGCCCGACUUUUGCGGAAGGGCGGUAUUUAUUAGAUAACAAGCCAAUAUUCCUCUGGUCUAUUGUGGUGACUCAUAAUAACUGAUCGAAUCGCAAGGCCUUUGGCCGCGAUAAGUCAUUCAAGUUUCUGCCCCAUCAGCUUUCGAUGGUAGUGUAUUGGACUACCAUGGCGUUUACGGGUAACGGAGGAUUAGGGUUCGAUUCCGGAGAGGGAGCCUGAGAAACGGCUACCACAUCUAAGGAAGGCAGCAGGCGCGUAAAUUACCCAAUCCUGACUCAGGGAGGUAGUGACAAGAAAUAACGGACCGAGGCCUUCGGGCUUCGGGAUUGGAAUGAGCCGAAUUUACACCCCUUAGCGAAGAUCGAUUGGAGGGCAAGUCUGGUGCCAGCAGCCGCGGUAAUUCCAGCUCCAAUAGCGUAUAUUAAAGUUGUUGCAGUUAAAAAGCUCGUAGUUGGAUUUCUGGGAGGGUGCCGAUGUCCACUUAACGUGUGCGCAGCGGCGCCCUCUCAUCCUUCUGUUAGCGUCUCUUGGCAUUCAUUUGCUGGUGGCGGGCUCAGAUAUUUUACCUUGAGAAAAUUAGAGUGUUUCAGGCAGGCUAGGCCGGAAUACAUUAGCAUGGAAUAAUGGAAUAGGACUACGGUCUCUUUGUUGGUUUGAGGGACUGCAGUAAUGAUUAAUAGGGAUAGUUGGGGGCAUUAGUACUUAACUGUCAGAGGUGGAAUUCUCAGAUUUGUUAAAGACUGACUUAUGCGAAAGCAUUUGCCAAGGAUGUUUUCAUUAAUCAAGAACGAAAGUUAGGGGAUCAAAGACGAUCAGAUACCGUCCUAGUCUUAACCAUAAACUAUGCCGACUCGGGAUUGGGGGCGUGUUCUAUCCGCCUUCAGCACC
rnacentral:rRNA from 1 species